ACCCGCUGAAUUUAAGCAUAUCAAUAAGCGGAGGAAAAGAAACCAACAGGGAUUGCCUUAGUAACGGCGAGUGAAGCGGCAAAAGCUCAAAUUUGAAAUCGGCCACCAGGUCGAGUUGUAAUUUGUAGAUUGUAUCUUGAGAGCGGAUUAAAGUCUGUUGGAACACAGCGCCUUAGAGGGUGACGGCCCCGUAAAAUCUAUUCUCAUUGUAAGAUACUUUCGAAGAGUCGAGUUGUUUGGGAAUGCAGCUCUAAGUGGGAGGUAAAUUCCUUCUAAAGCUAAAUAUUGACGAGAGACCGAUAGCGAACAAGUACUGUGAAGGAAAGAUGAAAAGCACUUUGAAAAGAGAGUGAAAAAGUACGUGAAAUUGUUAAAAGGGAAGGGUAUUGAAUUAGACUUGGUGCUGUUGUUCAACUGUGUUUCGGCAUAGUGUACUCAGCAGUACUAGGCCAAGGUGGGGUGUUUGGGAGUGAAAAAGAAGUAGGAAGGUAACUCUUCGGAGUGUUAUAGCCUACUUUCAUAGCUCCUCAGGCGCCUCAGGACUGCGCUUCGGCAAGGACCUUGGCAUAAUGAUUCUAUACCGCCCGUCUUGAAACACGGACCAAGGAG
rnacentral:rRNA from 1 species